rnacentral:misc_RNA from 1 species
GAUGAAGAACGCAGCGAAAUGCGAUAAGUAGUGUGAAUUGCAGAAUUCAGUGAAUCAUCGAAUCUUUGAACGCACAUUGCGCCCCUUGGUAUUCCAUGGGGCAUGCCUGUUCGAGCGUCAUUUGUACCUUCAAGCUCUGCUUGGUGUUGGGUGUUUGUCUCGCCUUGCGCGUAGACUCGCCUUAAAACAAUUGGCAGCCGGCGUAUUGAUUUCGGAGCGCAGUACAUCUCGCGCUUUGCACUCAUAACGACGACGUCCAAAAGUACAUUUUUACACUCUUGACCUCGGAUCAGGUAGGGAUACCCGCUGAACUUAAGCAUAUCAAUAAGCGGAGGA